rnacentral:rRNA from 1 species
CCUACGGGCGGCAGCAGUGAGGAAUAUUGGUCAAUGGGAGCGAGCCUGAACCAGCCAAGUAGCGUGAAGGAUGACUGCCCUACGGGUUGUAAACUUCUUUUAUAAAGGAAUAAAGUGAGGCACGUGUGCCUUUUUGUAUGUACUUUAUGAAUAAGGAUCGGCUAACUACGUUCCAGCAGCCGCGGUAAUAAGGAGGGUCCGAGCGUUAUCCGGAUUUAUUGGGUUUAAAGGGAUCGUAGGUGGGUUGUUAAGUCAGUUGUGAAAGUUUGCGGGUCAAACGUAAAAUUGCAAUUGAUACUGGCAGCCUUGAGUACAGUUGAGGUAGGCGGAAUGCGUGGUGUAGCGGUGAAAUGCUUAGAUAUCACGAAGAACUCCGAUUGCGAAGGCAGCUUACUAACCUGCCACUGACAUUGAUGCUCGAAAGUGUGGGUAUCAAACAGGAUUAGAUACCCUAGUAGUC